rnacentral:rRNA from 1 species
AGUGAACGCUGGCGGUAGGCCUAACACAUGCAAGUCGAACGGCAGCACAGUAAGAGCUUGCUCUUACGGGUGGCGAGUGGCGGACGGGUGAGGAAUACAUCGGAAUCUACUUUUUCGUGGGGGAUAACGUAGGGAAACUUACGCUAAUGCCGCAUACGACCUACGGGUGAAAGCAGGGGAUCUUCGGACCUUGCGCGAUUGAAUGAGCCGAUGUCGGAUUAGCUAGUUGGCGGGGUAAAGGCCCACCAAGGCGACGAUCCGUAGCUGGUCUGAGAGGAUGAUCAGCCACACUGGAACUGAGACACGGUCCAGACUCCUACGGGAGGCAGCAGUGGGGAAUAUUGGACAAUGGGCGCAAGCCUGAUCCAGCCAUACCGCGUGGGUGAAGAAGGCCUUCGGGUUGUAAAGCCCUUUUGUUGGGAAAGAAAAGCAGCAGGUUAAUACCCCGCUGUUCUGACGGAACCCAAAGAAUAAGCACCGGCUAACUUCGUG